rnacentral:rRNA from 1 species
GACGAACGCUGGCGGCGUGCUUAACACAUGCAAGUCGAACGGAAAGGCCCUGCUUUUGUGGGGUGCUCGAGUGGCGAACGGGUGAGUAACACGUGAGUAACCUACCCUUGACUUUGGGAUAACUUCAGGAAACUGGGGCUAAUACCGGAUAGGAGCUCCUGCUGCAUGGUGGGGGUUGGAAAGUUUCGGCGGUUGGGGAUGGACUCGCGGCUUAUCAGCUUGUUGGUGGGGUAGUGGCUUACCAAGGCUUUGACGGGUAGCCGGCCUGAGAGGGUGACCGGCCACAUUGGGACUGAGAUACGGCCCAGACUCCUACGGGAGGCAGCAGUGGGGAAUAUUGCACAAUGGGCGGAAGCCUGAUGCAGCAACGCCGCGUGCGGGAUGAAGGCCUUCGGGUUGUAAACCGCUUUCGCCUGUGACGAAGCGUGAGUGACGGUAAUGGGUAAAGAAGCACCGGCUAACUACGUG